GACGAACGCUGGCGGCGUGCUUAACACAUGCAAGUCGAACGGAAAGGCCCUGCUUUUGUGGGGUGCUCGAGUGGCGAACGGGUGAGUAACACGUGAGUAACCUGCCCUUGACUUUGGGAUAACUUCAGGAAACUGGGGCUAAUACCGGAUAGGAGCUCCUGCUGCAUGGUGGGGGUUGGAAAGUGUCGGCGGUUGGGGAUGGACUCGCGGGUUAUCAGCUUGUUGGUGGGGUAGUGGCUUACCAAGGCUUUGACGGGUAGCCGGCCUGAGAGGGUGACCGGCCACAUUGGGACUGAGAUACGGCCCAGACUCCUACGGGAGGCAGCAGUGGGGAAUAUUGCACAAUGGGCGGAAGCCUGAUGCAGCAACGCCGCGUGCGGGAUGACGGCCUUCGGGUUGUAAACCGCUUUCGCCUGUGACGAAGCGUGAGUGACGGUAAUGGGUAAAGAAGCACCGGCUAACUACGUG
rnacentral:rRNA from 1 species